GACGGGGGGGGCAAGUGUUCUUCGGAAUCACUGGGCUUACAGGGUGCGUAGGCGGUCUGUUAAGUAGGGUGUGAAAGCCCCCGGCUCAACCGGGGAAUUGCGCCCUAAACUGGCGGACUGGAGUGAGAUAGGGGUGUGCGGAACUUCCGGUGGAGCGGUGAAAUGUGUUGAUAUCGGAAGGAACGCCGGUGGCGAAAGCGGCACACUGGAUCUCAACUGACGCUGAGGCACGAAAGCCAGGGGAGCGAACGGG
rnacentral:rRNA from 1 species